rnacentral:lncRNA from 1 species
GAGUCCUCCCAACUGACUGUGUUACGACCGCCACUUCAAUCCUACAGAUGCAGCAGUUCAUAUGGUAAUCAUUUCUGGCUCAUAUUAACUAUCAUACAUAAUUCACACAUACAUAGUACAUAGUAUAAACGUGUGUUGCUCAUGUUGUCUUGAACCUAAUUCACACUGACUAUACAGAAGCAAAACAAGCACUGAAGAGGCAGAGGGAAAAUGCCCGGUAUGAGCAACAUAAAGAAGAGAUAUUGCAAAGCCUACAUGACAAACGUCGUGCAGCCAAAUCUACAGUAGUGCUUACAACUGGAGAACAAAACCAAUCUGAUACAGGUGAUGCCAGCUACAUGAUACACUGUAUAUCUUAUUUUUGAUUUCCUAACUGAGAUUCACUCAAUGUUUCUGUAGCUGAUGAAGAUUGUGAUUGGCUACACACAAAUGAUACAUACCUGAUACAAAACAUUGGAAGAAGGAUGGGGCGAGACAACAUACUCACUGCGUCGUCACGUGGGCACCAUCCCUCGACAAUUAUAAUGGUGCUUUAAUUGACUACAUAUUGGUUCAUACCUUGAAUUAAUCGCUGAUACUUGCCCAUUUUGCAACAUAUGCUGUCAGGCAACGACCAUGCCGAUGAUGCAUAUGGAAUACUGGAGCCCGAUGACAACACAACAAAUAUGGAUGGUACACAUUAGUGCACCUACGGUCCUAUGUUUAGUUUAGGAGAUCUUAUAAUUAUUACAAACUAAAAUUUGUCUACUAUAGACUGCUUGGGAGGUGAAAACCACAUGUUUGAAACUGAAUAUGUUGAGCCUGAUGAAGAAGCUAGGAUGUUAGCCCACCAAGGUACCUUGUUGCUAUCAUGAGUUUCCAUAUAUAAUAUAAUACUGUCUUUUCGUG